UGCACACUGAAGCUGCAGUAGUCAACUGCAUGUGGGUCUCCUCAAGAGGCUCAACACACAAUAUUGAAUUCAAACAUUCUUUCCCUCCCUCUCACUCACUACGUUCGUCUCUGCCGCACUUGAGUUUCCCUCGGCGGCGAAGCUUUUCCAGAAAAAAAAUCAAAUCCACCAUCAUCUUCCUCUUUUUAAGCUAAACACAGAAAUGCCAAUAAUUUUCUUUGAAACCUAAACCUAACCAUAAAAUCUAAUCGAACCAAAUAGCGGAAGAACCCUAGGUCUUGAAUCUGAAAUUAAAUGGAUAUCUGGUUGAAUUGGAGCCCAAAAGGUUGGGACUCUGAUUCCCUGGGCUCUAAGCUACAGACCAGUAACGAGAUUGUAGUGAAAUGAAGAAAAGGAUCGAGCAACCUACCAGAUAAGACGAAGCUGGAGACGGCGACGACAACAAAAUUCAGGCCUUGUGGACAUGGAAUGGACAAGAGGUAUGAUGACAAUUAUCAACAUGGAUUUUGAAGCCAUCAUGUACAAGAAGCAAACCAAAUAUUAACAUUGCUUUGGAAGAUAGGAUUAGACUAGGAUGGGAAGUUUUAGGGGUUUAGAAUGGAAAAUGAUUUGAGUUGACUUUGGUCAAAGUUGACCAAAAAGUCAACAUUAGGUCAACAUGUAAUUUUAUUCAUUUUUGUCUGUAAUGAAACAUUUUAUGGAUAAAAAUGAAUGGAAUUGGUUAUUUGAAUGAAAAUGAAUGGAUCUGGUAGAUGAAUAUGUUAAUUGA